rnacentral:rRNA from 1 species
AGGGGGACAACAGUUGGAAACGACUGCUAAUACCGCAUACGAUCCAAUCUCGGCAUCGAGGAUGGAUGAAAGGUGGCCUCUAUUUAUAAGCUAUCACUGAAGGAGGGGAGUUGCGUCUGAUUAGCUAGUUGGAGGGGUAACGGCCCACCAAGGCGAUGAUCAGUAGCCGGUCUGAGAGGAUGAACGGCCACAUUGGGACUGAGACACGGCCCAG